AAAACUUCUGUUNGUUGGGAGAAGAAUGGUCGGCAGAGUAACUGUUGUCGGCGUGACGGUAUCCAACCAGAAAGCCACGGCUAACUACGUGCCAGCAGCCGCGGUAAUACGUAGGUGGCAAGCGUUAUCCGGAUUUAUUGGGCGUAAAGCGAGCGCAGGCGGUUUUUUAAGUCUGAUGUGAAAGCCCUCGGCUUAACCGAGGAAGCGCAUCGGAAACUGGGAAACUUGAGUGCAGAAGAGGACAGUGGAACUCCAUGUGUAGCGGUGAAAUGCGUAGAUAUAUGGAAGAACACCAGUGGCGAAGGCGGCUGUCUGGUCUGUAACUGACGCUGAGGCUCGAAAGCAUGGGUAGCGAACAGGAUUAGAUACCCUGGUAGUC
rnacentral:rRNA from 1 species